GCCCAGGUGGCUCAGUCGGUUGAGUGUCUGACUUCGGCUCAGGUCAUGAUCUCGUGGUUUGUGAGUUCGAGCCCCACAUCGGGCC
rnacentral:tRNA from 1 species